GUGAACAUGUGGUUUAUUUCUAACCAAUGAGAAUUCAUGGAGAAUCUGCUGGGGGGAGGAUUUAAGGAACUUGCUUUUUCUCCCAGAUAAGAGAGAGUUUGCGAGCUAGCUGUGGGAAGGGGAUUUUUUUGCCUCUUGUGUUUUGGAUACCAUCAACUGAAGUCCAUUCCUUAGCUCAGGCUCCUUUAGGGAGCCCAUCUACUCACACAUCAACUUUCCAUGGGAUAUACUGCUUGGAGCUGGCAGCCAGCACCCUGAGGCUACGAAGAAAAGAGUUGCUCAUGCUUGAAGAAACCAGCCCUCAUGUUAUGGUGGUACUCGGGUAACUCAAGAAGAGGAACUGAAGCUUCCUUCCAACAGCACCAGAUUUUACUUUGGCACUGGAAAAUCCUGAUGUCAUCUGGCCUUGCACACCAGUGUCAGCGAAGACAGAGUUUAGAUGGAAUCUUUUAAAUCUACCUCUUUGAUGUCAAGAGAAAUUCAAAUAAAAUGCUGAAAUAAAUACGUAGAUGUAAACUUGGAUAAAAAUUUACAGGGGUCUGGAAAUUGAAUGCUGGACAUUAUUUCAAAAUGAUGGAGUGAUAAUUUGGUUGAAAAAAGAAAACACAGAAAGGUACACAGUGAAGAAUGAAUGUGUCCCCUACUUGUUGUUCCUAGUUUCACUUCUCAGAUAAAGUCACUUCUAACUGUUGGUUAUUAUAAUGCUAAUAAUAAACUUGAUUCAAUGUUAUUAA